ensembl:misc_RNA Metazoa_SRP Metazoan signal recognition particle RNA
GCCGGGUGCGGUGGCGCGUGCCUGUAAUCCAAGCUACCGGGAGGCUGAGGUUGGAGGAUCGUUUGAGCUCAGGAGCUCUGAGCUGCAGCGGACUAUGCCGAUCGGGUGUCCGCACUAAGUUCGGCAUCGAUAUGGUGAUCCUGGGGGAGCCCGGGACCAACAGGUCGUCUAAAGAGGGGUGCACCGGCCCAGGUCGGAGACGGAGCAGGUCAAAGCCCCCGUGCUGCUCAGUUGUGGGAUGGCACCUGUGAAUAGACGCUGCAGUGCAGCCUGAGCAAUACAGCGAGACCCAAUCUUUA